rnacentral:rRNA from 1 species
GACGAACGCUGGCGGCGUGCUUAACACAUGCAAGUCGAACGGAAAGGCCCUGCUUGCCGGGUGCUCGAGUGGCGAACGGGUGAGUAACACGUGGGUGAUCUGCCCCUUACUUUGGGAUAAGCCUGGGAAACUGGGUCUAAUACUGGAUAGGACCAUGCUGUAGGUGGUGUGGUGGAAAGAUUAGUUUCGGUAAGGGGUGAGCUCGCGGCCUAUCAGCUUGUUGGUGGGGUAAUGGCCUACCAAGGCGUCGACGGGUAGCCGGCCUGAGAGGGUGGACGGCCACAUUGGGACUGAGAUACGGCCCAGACUCCUACGGGAGGCAGCAGUGGGGAAUAUUGCACAAUGGGCGCAAGCCUGAUGCAGCGACGCCGCGUGGGGGAUGACGGCCUUCGGGUUGUAAACUCCUUUCAGCCAUGACGAAGCCCUUGUGGUGACGGUAGUGGUAGAAGAAGCACCGGCUAACUACGUG